GACGGCUCUGAUCUUCAGAGGCUGACUCACAACUCCUACGAGGAUGGGACGCCCACGUGGAGCCCACGUUACAUCAGUCCCGUCGACGUGGAGAGUAUAUAUGACGUGGAACCCUGUGGCUUUGAAGAUUGUCACUGGCUUAACCAAAAGAAGGUCCAUAAUGAUAUUAGGCCCAUUUUAACUGGGCCUCGAUGCAGCCCAUAAACCCUAUCAACUGGGCUUUCCAAACCCAAAUUCCAUUCCUAAACAAUGGCAGUCAGAUUGAGAAAUGGAAAGUGGUUUGACUUGUGUUAGAUAAUGUAAGAUACCAUUGAGAUAUUGGUAGAUAAAUAAUGGUUG
rnacentral:misc_RNA from 1 species